AUGGCGCCGGUGAAGGUGUUCGGGCCGGGCAAGUCGAGGAACGUGGCCCGGGUGCUGAUGUGCUUGGUGGAGGUCGGCGUCGAGUACGAGGUCGUCGACAUGGAUUUGAAGGCCCUGGAGCACAAGAGCCCCGAGCAUCUCGCCAGAAACCCGUUCGGGCAAACCCCUGCUUUCCAGGAUGGGAAUCUAAUUCUCUUCGAGUCGCGCGCAAUUUCAAGGUACGUGCUUCGCAAAUACAAGACGAACGAAGUCGACCUGCUGAGGGAAGGUAACCUGAAAGAAGCCGCGUUGGUGGAUGUAUGGACCGAGGUCGAUGCCCACGCCUACAACCCAGCCAUCUCGCCUGUAGUGUACGAAUGCCUCAUAAACCCGCUCGUGCUCGGCAUACCCACCAACCAGAAGGUGGUGGACGAAAGCAUAGAGAAGCUGAAGAAGGUGCUGGAGGUCUACGAGGCGCAUUUGUCCAAGCACAAGUACUUGGCGGGGGAUUUCAUCAGCUUUGCGGAUAUCAACCAUUUCCCCCACACUUGCUCCUUCAUGGCGACGCCUCACGUGGUCCUCUUCGACUCGUAUCCUAACGUGAAGGCAUGGUGGGAGAGACUGAUGGCAAGGCCAUCGAUCAAGAAGCUCAGCGCAAGCUUGGCUCCACCAAAGGCAUGCUUUGUAGGGGAUAUUUGGCAUUCUGGGAUCACACCACUGAUUUGUAUGGUGCUCUCUUGCUGGUAUCGCUAA
rnacentral:rRNA from 1 species